AAAAAAAUUUACUUAGAUGAUAAUGUGUGUGUGUGAUCAUGGUUUGCUAACUAGACAAUUUGAAAUCUUUCCGAACUUUUAAUAAACUCGAAGACAUUUUUGAAAAUGGUUUGGUUUUGCUCUAGAGAAAGAAGACAACUACCCGAGGUUAGUAGUUCUAUGUUAAUUUUACAAUCAUUUGGAAGCCAGCGCAGACUUUCAAACAUUUUAUUUCGUAUGUCUGAAUAUAAUAUACAUUUAAAAAAGAAAUGAUAGGAAUCUUCACGAUUAACACCACAGCGACAAGAAGGGUCCGAAAUAUGAUAUUGACCCUAUAUAGAUCAUAGUUUAAGGAUGAUGCAAAACAUCGAAGUUGGGUGAGAAUUAUAUUCAAUUUUCGAUUUCCAAAUUCAUAUUGCUUCGG
rnacentral:lncRNA from 1 species